UACGUAGGUGGCAAGCGUUGUCCGGAUUUACUGGGCGUAAAGCGCACGUAGGCGGAUCUUUAAGUCAGGGGUGAAAUCCCAAGGCUCAACCUUGGAACUGCCUUUGAUACUGGGGAUCUCGAGUCCGGAAGAGGUUGGUGGAACUCCGAGUGUAGAGGUGAAAUUCGUAGAUAUUCGGAAGAACACCAGUGGCGAAGGCGGCCAACUGGUCCGGUACUGACGCUGAGGUGCGAAAGCGUGGGGAGCAAACAGG
rnacentral:rRNA from 1 species